UUUAAUUCAAUUAAGAUUCAUAAUCAUUUUUUGUUAGUUAGUUUUAUUUUUUAUUUUUUUUGUUAGUUGACUUAAUAGAUAAUUUAGAAUUAAGGGUACAAUAUGUGUUCUUUCAAUUUAUGAGAAACCUAAGUUUUCUACUAUAUGUAUAAGUUGCUUGAGAAAAGCAAAUGGACCAAAAAAUCAUGAUUACAAUACCCCACCCCACUACCUCUCAAAUAUCCAUCAACUAAUAAAAGGGGAAUUAC
rnacentral:lncRNA from 1 species